GUGGGGAAUCUUCCGCAAUGGACGAAAGUCUGACGGAGCGACGCCGCGUGAGUGAAGAAGGCCUUCGGGUCGUAAAGCUCUGUCAUCAGGGACGAACGGCCGGUGGAGUGGAAAGCCACCGGAUUGACGGUACCUGAGAAGGAAGCCACGGCUAACUACGUGCCAGCAGCCGCGGUAAUACGUAGGUGGCAAGCGUUGUCCGGAAUUAUUGGGCGUAAAGCGCGCGCAGGUGGGAUCUUAAGUCCAUUUUUAAAGUUCGGAGCUCAACUCCGUGAUGGGAUGGAAACUGGGAUUCUUGAGUACCGGAGAUGAAAGCGGAAUUCCCCGUGUAGCGGUGAAAUGCGUAGAUAUGGGGAGGAACACCAGUGGCGAAGGCGGCUUUCUGGACGGUGUCUGACACUGAGGCGCGAAAGCCAGGGGAGCGAACGGGAUUAGAUACCCGGGUAGUCC
rnacentral:rRNA from 1 species